CUCUGUUCCCGGGUCCCUCAGGCGGCCACCCAGUGGGCACACUCCCAGGCGGCACUCCGGCCCCGCGCUCCCUCCCUCUGCCUUUCAUUCCCAGCUGCCAACAUCCUGGAAGCUGAUUCUAAAGUGCAUCUAAGAUUGAAAACCACUGAUUCUAAUAACACAGCAUUGUGGAAUGAUUCGCAGCUGAUUCUAAAGUGCAUUUAACAUUGAAAACCACUGAUUCUAAUAACACAGCAUCGUGGAAUGAAUCAGG
rnacentral:sRNA from 1 species